CCCUUAGAUGUUCUGGGCCGCACGCGCGCUACACUGAUGCAUUCAACGAGCCUAUCCUUGACCGACAGGUCCGGGUAAUCUUUGAAUCUGCAUCGUGACGGGGAUAGAUUAUUGCAAUUAUUAAUCUUCAACGAGGAAUGCCUAGUAGGCGCAAGUCAUCAGCUUGCGUCGAUUACGUCCCUGCCCUUUGUACACACCGCCCGCCGCUCCUACCGAUUGGGUGUGCUGGUGAAAUGUUCGGAUCGGCCGUUUGUCGCGGUUUCCGCGUCAUGUGGCUGAGAAGUUCAUUAAACCCUCCCACCGAGAGGAAGGAGAAGUCGUAACA
rnacentral:rRNA from 1 species